AGACGAGGCCAAAUUCAUCCGUACCUAUAACGACUUUGUGGACUACCGGAGUGACCCCUCCAAGCGGAAUGACAUUGAGAGGGAGCUGGCUGAGGCAAAGAUCCAUCAUGUGAACAUGCUAGAUGUCCUCUUUGAGCUGGUGCUGUUUGGGAUGAUGACAGCUCAGAAGUCCCUGAUGGUGCACCCUGGUGGGUUCGUGGAGCGUCUGUACGCUCUCCUGUACUCCUUCCUGCCCACUGCUGCCAACAUGGAGCCAGAGGCUGAUAGAUACCUGCUGCUGCUCAAUGUAAGAGUCAAGAGGUUACUUCCUGUUUACUUCCAUAUUCAUGGUUAACCAGGUCCCAAUGCCAUUUUAGGGGGAGUAUUUCUAAUUGUCUCUCUCUCCUCUUGAUAAGCUAGUAACUCAGGACCAUUUUCUAUGUGUUGUGUGGUGUUCUCUUCAGGGCGGGCUGAUGGCUCUCCUAGAUGACAUGUUUGGCCAGCAGCUGGCCUGGUACUUUAACCCAGAGUCUCUGGUCACUGAGCUCUCCAGCCUCCUGGAGUACCACUUGGAGAACCUCAUGGCCAGCAUGUAGUCCUACUGCAGGGACCAUACUCCUUUCUCCUUCUCUCUCUCUUUUGAAGGAAUUGAGGACUUGAAGUGCUUUGUUGAACCCUGAUUAGUUAACACCCAUUAAUUUAAUGUAUUCUCUUGUUUUCUCUCCCCACAGGAUUAUUGUGACACUUUG